UGCCCGCACCAACACGCAGAGCAUAGGGAAUCAGAGAAGCCCAUAAGACGGGCCUCCUCCGAUCCCCCAAACCCAAACGCAAUCCUACACCACCAGCCAGACAACCCUACCCAGCAACACCCUGCGGGGGACUCCUCCCUCUCCAUGGUUGCACGCCAUGGAUGCCUUGGAGCUCAGAGAUCCAUGGCCAAUCCUUCUUCCACAUACCUCCUUGCCGUCAUUCUAUCUCCUGUCCUCAGCUAGCUAACCGGCCGAAGGAGAAAGAAAUGGAAGUGUAGCUAUGGUGUUGGCUCGGCUCACUCAGAAGCUGAAGGAGCCAUGGCCCAUGUGGAUCUAGCUACGCACAGAUUGCAGUGCUAGCUCCUGGGGUUUCUGAUUGAGCCGUGCCAAUAUCUUAGCACCCUUUCAUGUUUGCGCCGCACCUUCUCUUCCUGAAUUAUUCUGCCUCGAUUAUUACUGGGUUCUUGUAUCUCUUUGAAUUUUCUCUGCAAUUAAGUAUGCAUGGAUCAUAGAUGAAGUGCAAGCAUGCACUUUCGAUUUGUUUCUAAAUUUUUUUGGGGUGCUGUGACUAACCAGCAGUAACCAUUGACUGCGCUGCGCCUUGCAUGCUGUGGCACCAGUUAGGUCAUGCAGAAAUCGCUCGGUAGACAAAGCAGGAGAAAUAGUGCACGCGCACCGCCCCCAGCAUGCAUGCAUGUCCAGUCCAUGCAGCUCUUCAGAUGCAUCAUGGGCGUUCUUGAACACACCCUAAUUUUGAACUGUGCUAUUGCUACAGGCGCUUCCAUGGAUGAAGUGCCAAACUACUAUAUUCCAUGGAAUAUAUGACCCAGUUGAAGCAGAUUGAAGGCAUACGAAUCGCACUUCUGGAUAUUUAUUUUAGUAAGGAAGGACAUGGACUAUAUGAUCGAGCGUGUGUAGUAGCUUAGUGGAGUAUGUAUAAGUGUAACCGUAGUAGUAUGUGUCCACCUCCUAAAUAAUGAGGGAGAAAAUGUGUGGACAUGUAUGAUCUGCUUUGUACUUUCAUGUGACAGUUGCGACCAUGUAUUUCCUAGUUCUCUCAUGUAAUGCCUGUAGUAAUCGUGCCCCAGACAGAGAAUUCAGCAAGAAAUGAGUUGGUUCACUUGAUAGUA